rnacentral:rRNA from 1 species
UACGUAGGGGGCAAGCGUUGUCCGGAAUCAUUGGGCGUAAAGCGCGCGUAGGCGGCCCGGUAAGUCCGUUGUGAAAACUCGAGGCUCAACCUCGAGACGUCGAUGGAAACCAUCUGGCUAGAGUCCGGAAGAGGCGAGUGGAAUUCCUGGUGCAGCGGUGAAAUGCGCAGAUAUCAGGAGGAACACCGAUGGCGAAGGCAGCUCGCUGGGACGGUACUGACGCUGAGGCGCGAAAGCGUGGGGAGCAAACAGG